GGGUACCGGGAACAAUGAGGAGCCUGACGACAGUGUACUUGGGAUGCAAGCGAGACCUUUCAAAGGCGAGGUCCGCAUAUUUAGAAUGCUUUUCCUGAAUCUUGCCAAUCACGUUGCUUUCAAAAGGGACAGAAAAUGCAAUGAUAUAAAUAAUUUCAUUGGCUUUAUCAAAAAGAACAAGAUCAGGUUUGUUGGCUGGAAUUCUUCUGAGGCUGUAUAGAGGCCUAUUCCAAAGAAGCUUAACAGCAUCAUUUUCCAUGACGCCCUAGACAUGUUCAGGGUCGUACCAUGGAUGGACCUCAGAGUCAAACCACAGGCAUGGCGAAGACGAUAGUAGAAGCAACGAGCCAUGCGAUCAUGUCGUUUAUAAUAUGCUGUUUGUGCCAAAGAAGGGCAUCCACUGACAAGGUGUUGGACAGUCUCUGUAAAUUCAUAGCGCAAUCGACAUUUUAUGUGAAUAUUUUCUUUUAGAAUCACAUUUAGGCGAUUGCGAGUGGGAAGUGCCUGGUCUUGGGCAGCAAAA